UACGUAGGUGGCAAGCGUUGUCCGGAUUUAUUGGGUUUAAAGGGUGCGUAGGCGGCCUAUUAAGUCAGUGCUGAAAUAUCCCGGCUUAACCGGGAGGGUGGCAUUGAUACUGAUGGGCUUGAGUAGAGUUGAGGUUGGCGGAAUUGACGGUGUAGCGGUGAAAUGCUUAGAUAUCGUCAAGAACACCUAUUGCGAAGGCAGCCAACUAAGCUCAAACUGACGCUGAGGCACGAAAGUGUGGGGAUCAAACAGG
rnacentral:rRNA from 1 species